AAUAAGAUUAUUUUUUAUUUUUUCGUGUCUAACGUUUGACCAUUUGUUUUAUUUGAAAAAAAUUUGUGAUUAAUAUUUUUGUUCUUGCUAGAUGAUAAAACAUGAAUAGAUAAUUUUUUUAAGUUUUUAUACAAAAUUUUUAAAUAAGACGAAUGUUCAAACGUUGAACACGGAAAAACGAAAAAUGAUCUUACG
rnacentral:pre_miRNA from 1 species